CAUAAUUACAACAUUUGUGACCAGAACAUCUGAUCCAAUAACACACACUAUCCUGCUAACUCAACCAUGUGCUGUCAGUACACACAUGCAUGCUGAUGGUUUUACCUGGGCUCCCCAACCGGUGCAUGCUUGCUCCACUGGUCAUCCAGCCUAUUGAGGAAGCUCAAAUUCAUGAAAAUUCAAUGACAUGAGCAGUCAACAGAGUCCUAAAAAUAACAUGAAAACAUUUCACCUUAAACCUACUCAAGAACAAAAGUACAAUUUAAUAUACUGUAUUUACCGCUGUUGAGAAAA